rnacentral:tRNA from 1 species
GCCUAGCUGGCCCAGUCAGUAGAGUAUGAGACUCUUGAUCUCGGGGUCGUGAGUUUGAGCCCCACGUUGGGUG